rnacentral:ncRNA from 1 species
CGACAAAGGCAAACCCAUCGUGAGGUGGGGACGCAAAGCUUCCGGUCUGCGGGAUUACCUGUCCUGAGAUAGCGGAGCCGCCA